rnacentral:rRNA from 1 species
GAUGAACGCUGGCUGUGUGCCUAAUACAUGCAUGUCGAGCGAAGCACUUUUGUGCUUAGCGGCGAAUGGGUGAGUAACACGUACUUAACCUACCCUCAAGAUUAGGACAACACUUGGAAACGAGUGCUAAUACCAAAUACGUAUUUUUAUCGCAUGAUAGAUAUAUAAAAGGAGCUUCGGCUUCACUAGAGGAUGGGAGUGCGCUACAUUAGUUAGUUGGUAGGGUAAUGGCCUACCAAGACUAUGAUGUAUAGCGGGGCCGAGAGGCUGAUCCGCCACACUGGGACUGAGAUACGGCCCAGACUCCUACGGGAGGCAGCAGUAGGGAAUUUUCCACAAUGAACGAAAGUUUGAUGGAGCGACACAGCGUGCAGGAUGAAGGUCUUCGGAUUGUAAACUGCUGUUAUAAGAGAAGAAAAACCCUGGUAGGUAAUGACCAGGACUUGACGGUACCUUAUCAGAAAGCGACGGCUAACUAUGUGCCAGCAGCCGCGGUAAUACAUAGGUCGCAAGCGUUAUCCGGAAUUAUUGGGCGUAAAGAGUUCGUAGGUGGUUUUGUAAGUCUGAAGUUAAAUACCGGGGCUCAACCCCGGCCCGCUUUGGAUACUGCAAAACUAGAGUAAUAGAGAGGUUAGUGGAACUCCAAGUGAAGCGGUGGAAUGCGUAGAUAUUUGGAAGAACACCAAUGGCGAAGGCAACUAACUGGAUAUUAACUGACACUGAGGAACGAAAGCGUGGGUAGCAAACAGG